rnacentral:rRNA from 1 species
CCUACGGGAGGCAGCAGUGAGGAAUAUUGGUCAAUGGACGCAAGUCUGAACCAGCCAUGCCGCGUGCAGGAAGACGGCCCUACGAGUUGUAAACUGCUUUUGUACGAGGGUAAAGGCAGAUACGCGUAUCUGUCUGUAUGUAUUUUAUGAAUAAGGAUCGGCUAACUCCGUGCCAGCAGCCGCGGUAAUACGGAGGAUUCAAGCGUUAUCCGGAUUUAUUGGGUUUAGAGGGUGCGUAGGCGGUCUGAUAAGUUAGAGGUGAAAGCCCGAGGCUCAACUUCGGAAUUGCAAUUGAUACUGGUCGUCUUGAGAGUAGUUGCGGUAGGCGGAAUUUGUGGUGUAGCGGUGAAAUGCUUAGAGAUCAUGCAGAACUCCGAUUGCGAAGGCAGCUUACCAAGCUACUACUGACGUUGAGGCACGAAAGCGUGGGGAGCAAACAGGAUUAGAUACCCCUGUAGUC